rnacentral:tRNA from 1 species
UUAAUUGAAGCCAAAAAGAGGCAUCUUAAUGUUAAUAAGAAUAAUGAUUUAUAAUAUCCAAUUAAA